rnacentral:snRNA from 1 species
AGAUCUCCAGGCUGCACUUAUACCCUUCUCUCUGACCUUUAUGAAUUCUCCACAAGUGAGAAUCUCAACUGCAGAAUUUCUGGUAGUGGGGACUGCGUUCGCACUCUCCCCGA